rnacentral:rRNA from 1 species
UACAGAGGGUGCAAGCGUUAAUCGGAAUUACUGGGCGUAAAGCGUGCGCAGGCGGUUUUGUAAGACCGAUGUGAAAUCCCCGGGCUUAACCUGGGAACUGCAUUGGUGACUGCAUUGCUAGAGUAUGGCAGAGGGGGGUGGAAUUCCACGUGUAGCAGUGAAAUGCGUAGAGAUGUGGAGGAACACCGAUGGCGAAGGCAGCCCCCUGGGCCAAUACUGACGCUCAUGCACGAAAGCGUGGGGAGC